GAAAUAUGAGCAGAAGUCACAUAUGUGGGAUUUUCCAGUCUCUGUGUUUCCUUCCAUGGCCUCUUCCUGGCCACGUGUUCCAGAAGACCUGAGAGGCUCCACUCCAUGCGCUACUGUUCCUGGAAGAUGCCAAAGCCGGGUAUGGAGGAGGAUUGUUCAGAGAAGACGACUUCGUCUUCCCAGAAGACAAACCCUCUACGUUGCCUUAUGAGGCAGAUAGCAACCCAAAACCAUGGACAGGAACGUGGAGAUCUGGAAGAGGAAGAACACAGGCAGGAGCCAGUCUGUGUAGAUACAUAUCUGGUUUUCCCCUGGUUUUUGUUUUUCCUUCAUAAUGGACAUAAGGCUCUUGGGAAAGGAAUAUUUUCUCCAUUCCCAGAAGGAUGGGGAUUGGGGACACUGGGCUGAACCUGAGAGACUGAACUAAGAGAAAGCACAAGGCUGAGUUUGCAGGAUUCUCAACUCUUCCUGCUGGUUUUGAGAAGCAGAUGAAUUUAAUGGCAGGCAGCUGCUCUCCAACCACUUACCCUCCUUCACUGCAUCAAGUGAUUCUGGACCACGCCGGGCACAGAUAUAUGUUCUCCUUGGACCUGUUCCUGAGAGCUGGAGGUUAGCCAAGGUGCGAUCAGAAGCAGCAAAUACAGACCAUGUUCCUGCCUGAUGUCCAGUACCUGGUCCAUGCUAUGCCCUGCCAAAUGUCCCAGUUGUGGUGAGCCCAGUGUUUCUCAGAACUCACUCACGGCCUGGCCUGCUGUCUCCCCAAAGGGCUUUGGUAAACUCUCAGUGAGGAUAAAGCUAGACUAUGACCCAGAAUCAUACUUGGUGAUGUCAGCAGAGAUUGUCUUCCACUCUGAGACCCCAGUCCUCUCCAUCUUGUGAUGCUGCCGUAUUAGUGCAUCGAUUCCGAAGUCACUGCACAAGAGAUGGAAGAGGGCUCCCCGUGAUUCUCACCCACCUUGACCUACAAGUGAUACAUGAUGCUUCUGCUUACCUUUCACUGGCCAGAACUAGACACAUGCUCCAACCUAACUGCAAGAGUGGAAAAUGUAGGGGAGCACAUCAAUCGUUUU
rnacentral:lncRNA from 1 species